rnacentral:rRNA from 1 species
UACGUAGGGUGCGAGCGUUAAUCGGAGUUACUGGGCGUAAAGCGCACGCAGGCGGUCUGUUAAGUUUGGAGUGACAGUUGGUGGCUUAACUGCCAAAGUGCUUCGAAAACUGAUCGACUUGAGGGCUUCAGAGGGACACGGAAUUCCGGGUGGAGUGGUGAAAUGCGUAGAGAUCCGGAGGAACACCGAAGGCGAAGGCAGUGUCCUGGGGAGUACCUGACGCUCAGGUGCGAAAGCCAGGGGAGCGAACGGG